GAUGAACGCUGGCGGCGUGCCUAAUACAUGCAAGUCGAGCGAACAGACGAGGAGCUUGCUCCUCUGACGUUAGCGGCGGACGGGUGAGUAACACGUGGAUAACCUACCUAUAAGACUGGGAUAACUUCGGGAAACCGGAGCUAAUACCGGAUAAUAUAUUGAACCGCAUGGUUCAUUAGUGAAAGACGGUUUUGCUGUCACUUAUAGAUGGAUCCGCGCCGCAUUAGAUAGUUGGUAAGGUAACGGCUUACCAAGGCGGCGAUGCGUAGCCGACCUGAGAGGGUGAUCGGCCGCACUAGAACUGAGACACGGUCCAGACUCCUACGGGAGGCAGCAGUAGGGAAUCUUCGGCAAUGGGCGAAAGCCUGACGGAGCGACGCCGCGUGAGUGAUGAAGGUCUUCGGAUCGUAAAACUCUGUUAUUAGGGAAGAACAAAUGUGUAAGUAAAUAUGCACGUCUUGACGGUAACUAAUCAGAAAGCCACGGCUAACUACGUG
rnacentral:rRNA from 1 species